rnacentral:misc_RNA from 1 species
AGCAGCCGCGGUAAUUCCAGCUCCAAUAGCGUAUAUUAAAGUUGUUGCAGUUAAAAAGCUCGUAGUUGAACUUCAGGCCUGUCCAGAUGGUCCGCCUUAAUUGGUGUGUACUGUCCUUGGGUGGGUCCUACCUUCUGGCGAAGCGGCAUGGCCUUAGUUGGUUGUGUCGGGGAACCAGGACUUUUACUGUGAAAAAAUUAGAGUGUUCAAAGCAGGCAUAUAUGCUCGAAUACAUUAGCAUGGAAUAAUGGAAUAGGACGAUGGUUCUAUUUUGUUGGUUCUAGGACCGUUGUAAUGAUUAAUAGGGAUAGUUGGGGGCAUUAGUAUUCAAUUGUCAGAGGUGAAAUUCUUGGAUUUAUUGAAGACUAACUACUGCGAAAGCAUUUGCCAAGGAUGUUUUCAUUAAUCAAGAACGAAAGUUAGGGGAUCGAAGACGAUCAGAUACCGUCGUAGUCUUAACCAUAAACUAUGCCGACUAGGAAUCGGGCGAUGUUGACAAAAUGACUCGCUCGGCACCUCA